UUUCAUCCUACCACAAUAUGAAUUCUAAAUGUUGGAAUUAAUUCAAGAUGGGAGGAUUUAGCAUAAGGUUAAGGAUACUUUUAUGGUAUGUUUUGAGGUGUGGAAGAAGAUGAAGUUACUGAAAAAGUUAGCCAUAAGUGAAGUGUAAUGAUGAGUGCAUGGAGAGAUUCUAUAUAUGAGUUGGGAUGGUUUCAUGUUAGAGCUAGCUUGAUUGGCGCCAUUGAAAAGCUAUUAUAUGAUUUGCUAUCUUAUGAGUAUUUAUAUGUAUGUGAGGUGGGAGGCAUUAGCACACUUCAACACUUAAAAGUCACCACAGCAGGUAACACAGACUUGGUUCUCUUCUCACUUUAUCCUACAUUUAUUUAAAUGAAAAAGACAAGUGUUAUCCCAUGACUAAUACUUUCAAAUUUUUUUACAUUGGAGGAGCAGGAAGGGAAAGUGAAGAGCUACAAUAAAAAGUUGUGAAAAAUCCAAGUACGCUCAAAGUUUAGCUGUGAAAUUUCUGAUUUUCAAAUCAAAGGCUGGAGUCCAUAUUCCUGUUUGAUUUGCUAAAUUCCAGAAACAAAAUUUAAUUAGUAAAGUCUAUGGUCUAAGUUGGUGGUAGGACACAUGUGAAGUUACUCCCCAGCAGUUAAGAGGUAAAGUUAGGGAAUUGGUUUACAGCUAUACAUGGUCUAAUUCUAAUAUAGAGUCUGUCCUUUUUUAUUAUAAGUAUUAUUGAACACAUAUGUUGAAUCUUAUAAAUGAUUUAGUUUCAAAAUUACCCUCAUU
rnacentral:lncRNA from 1 species